AUCAACGCUGGCGGCGCGCCUUAACACAUGCAAGUCGCACGAGAAAGUGGAGCAAUCCAUGAGUAAAGUGGCGUACGGGUGAGUAGCACGUGGAUCAUCUACCUCUUGAUGGGGAAUACCCCCGGGGAAACUGGGGACAAUACCGCAUAAGUCCGUAAGGAGAAAGCAGCAAUGCGUCGAGAGAGGAGUCCGCGGCCGAUUAGCUAGUUGGUGAGGUAACGGCCCACCAAGGCGAAGAUCGGUAGCCGGCCUGAGAGGGCGCACGGCCACACUGGCACUGAAAACGCGGGCCAGACUCCUACGGGAGGCAGCAGUGGGGAAUCUUGCACAAUGGAGGAAAACUCUGAUGCAAGCGACGCCGCGUGAGCGAUGAAGCCCUUCGGGGUGUAAAGCUCUUUCGACGGGAACGAUAAUGACGGUACCCGAAGAAGAAGCUGCGGCUAACUACGUGCCAGCAGCCGCGGUAAUACGUAGGCAGCAAGCGUUGUUCGGAAUUACUGGGCGUAAAAGAGUGUGUAGGCGGUGCUCUAAGUUUGGUGUGAAAUCUCCCGGCUUAACUGGGAGGGUGCGCCGAAAACUGGAGUGCUUGAGUAUGGGAGAGGUAAGCGGAAUUCCUGGUGUAGCGGUGAAAUGCGUAGAUAUCAGGAGGAACACCUGUGGUGUAGACAGCUUACUGGACCAUCACUGACGCUGAGACACGAAAGCGUGGGUAGCAAACAGGAUUAGAUACCCUGGUAGUCCACGCCCCUAAACGAUGCAUACUUGGUGUGAGCGAUUCAUUUCGUUCGUGCCGGAGCUAACGCGUUAAGUAUGCCGCCUGGGGAGUACGGUUCGCAAGGCUGAAACUCAAAGGAAUUGACGGGGGGCCCGCACAAGCGGUGGAGCAUGUGGUUCAAUUCGACGCAACGCGAAGAACCUUACCCUGGGCUCGAACGGCUAUGGAUCGACGGUAGAAAUAUCGUUUUCCCCGCAAGGGACUGUAGUCGAGGUGCUGCAUGGCUGUCGUCAGCUCGUGUCGUGAGAUGUUGGGUUAAGUCCCGCAACGAGCGCAACCCUUGUCCUGUGUUGCCACUCCCGUUAAACGGAAGCACUCGCAGGAGACCGCCAGCGAUAAGUUGGAGGAAGGUGGGGAUGAUGUCAAGUCAUCAUGGCCUUUAUGUCCAGGGCUACACACGUGCUACAAUGGGCGGUACAAAGCGCUGCAAACCCGCGAGGGGGAGCUAAUCGCAAAAAAAACCGUUCUCAGUUCGGAUCGCAGGCUGCAACUCGCCUGCGUGAAGCUGGAAUCGCUAGUAAUGGCAUAUCAGAACGAUGCCGUGAAUACGUUCCCGGGCCUUGUACACACCGCCCGUCACAUCACGAAAGUGGAUUGUACUAGAAGUCCUAAUCAAACAGGCCCAAGGUAUGAUUCAUGAUUGGGGUGAAGUCGUAACAAGGUA
rnacentral:rRNA from 1 species